UUCAAACCGGUGCCAACUUGUAAAAUAAAAAAAAUAAAAAAAAGGAUGGGGAAGGAGUUGGCACCGGUUCUCCUUAAACCGGUGGCAAAUAAGCAAGUUAGCACCGUUCAAACCGGUGGCAUUUAAAAAAAAAACGCGGGUUUGCUGCUUCAACCUGUUCAAUUCAACGACACUUUCUUCAUUUCUCAUGUUUGCUUCAAAAAUUCCUAGAAAGUUUCGCCCUAUUCUCUUCUCCCUCCAUCUCCAUUGAAAGGUUGUGCGAGCUUUCUCCUCUCCAUUGAAGCAGUUAAGCUAAGCGACCUUACUCACAUUGCUACUUCAAUUCUCUGCAUUUCCUCUUCCCAAACCCUUCCUCCAUUGAAGCUUCCAUUGAAGCUUCGGCCUCCUCACGCACGCAGCCUGGUUGGGCUUUGUUCUGCCUCCUCACUCACGCACACACGCACUUAGUUCUUCUCUUCUGCCUCCCUCCAUGCAUUAUUGAAGCAGCUUCGACCUAGGGCUUGGCAAUUGCUACUUAACUACUCCAUUAAACUCGCAAGGCUCCCCCUCCAUUAAACGCACAAGGCUGCCCCUCCACAAAUGCUAAGAAAUGGGUGUCAAGGGCUUCUAGGGUAAGAUCAUCAGUUUGGAGAGUGAGCGGAAAGCAUCCUGGCUAUAUUGAAAAAGAUUCAGAGGAAUUUUUGGGCAAAGCAUUGACCUUGGCAUUGACCUUCUAUUUGAGAGUGUUGAGACUUUAUAGGUACUAAGGUUUUACAUCUCAUGGCGGAUGAUCACUACCGUAUUGGAGUGGAGGAUGUAGAGGAUGAUGAUGAUGAUUCAUCUGGGGAUGGGGACGAGUUGUAUGAUGUGAACAAGGAGCUUGAUUUGGGUGAGGCAGAAGAUCAGGCUCAAGAUGCUUUGGAUCGUAUGCUUGAUGAAUUUGAUAUUGCAGCUGAACAAGCGCCUCCUAUCGAGAACGCAAUGUCUGAGUCGUUCGGCGAGGAUCAAAGUGGAGGGGGGUGAAGGGACCAGCGCAGAAAAAGCUGAGGGGUCCGACUACAAGUUUCAAGAAACCUGUCGGUCCAAUGGUCUUGGAGUAUGACAGGGUAGGACAACCUACAGGCAAAUGGCGUCGUCAGUAUGCUGUUCAAGUUGGGAUUUGUGCGCGCAAAAUCCCCAUUACUCUUCGUUUGAGCGACGUACCUAUUGGCUUGAUAUACACGUUUUGGAAUGAUACACGGAGUCUAUUUAACAUUCCAAAUGAGUACGCCAAGCAAAGGGUGUUUGAAUCCUUACUUGCGACAAGAUUCAGAGGGUUCAAGACCACCUUAGUUCGUCGGUUUAUCACAAAGAAGCUUGUGAGAAAACCAAAGAACAAGAAAGAAGGUGGCAUGGAUGAAGAAGUCAUCGAUGAAGAGAAACUCCCAUGGCAAAUAUGGCCUAGUGUAUCAAAGGAAAAUUGGGAUGCUUUCGUUCUUCAAAAAAGCAAAAAAGAAGCAAUUGAAAUAAGAGAGCAGAAUUCCAAGAAUGCAUUGCACAAGCAAUACUACCAUCAUAUGGGGUGUAUGACGUAUGAUGAAUGGAGGGAGACGUGGGUGAGUGAGGGAGUAUACCCCACUUCGCUACUAGGGUCCUCCACUGUGCCCUCUGACUCCACAACCAGUACUUUGGUGAGUCGUGCUGGAGAUUUCUUCUGUUCUUUGCAUUCUCGUGACAAGAAAACCGGAAAAUGGUCCAUCAAGGCUCCGGAAACAAAAGAAAUGGCAGAUAAACUUCUUAAUUGAGUACACUGGAGAGCUUGUUGAAGGCAAGCUCGUCCCAACAGUGGAGAAGGACCCUUUCACCUUGGCUUUGGGAAAGCCCUACCAUCCAGGACGCGUAUUGGGUGCAGGGGGGAGCUUGCUAGGAUGGGAGAAGGUGAUGGGUCCGAAAUAUACCAAAUCAGGGAGAUCCCGGGCAAGUGUGAACUCACCGGUCAACUAGGAUGCUACGGUGGCAUCAAUUAAGGAACAAGUGCGCAACGAGAUGCGAGAAGAGUUCAAUGCAUGGGCAAAGCAGAUGAACUUGCCGAGCUUGCCUGUCUCCUCGACUACACCGGUCAACUCUUUUAGUUACCCACGAAAACAAGGAGAAGAUGAGAUACAUGCAGACGAUGAGGUUGGUAAUCCUGCACAUGCGUACUUGAGGGAGCUUGAAAAUCCAACACCUCAUGACUUUCCGGUUCUACAGUUUUGCCAGGGACAAACGAGAAAUCCGUUCACGAGCGAGGAACUCAAUGUAAUUCGAGACAUGUUGGCGGCCUACAUCACAUUUAAUUUGUAAAUAUCAUUUAUUUCUAUUUUAACUAGCUUAGUGUACUACAUUAUUACUAAUUAUAUUUGUUUGUUUGUAGUUAUGACACAUUUUCCUAAUUAAUAUCAU